rnacentral:lncRNA from 1 species
GCGGCUGUCGGCGGGGUUACCGGAGCCGCCUGGAGACCGUGAGCUUGCCUGCAGUCGCUUGUAACCGUGCCGAAGCGGAAGGCCCGGUGCCUUCGGGUGACCCGCCACCGGCAUCGCCUCAGAGGCUUCCCCCUCACGCCCAACGGCCUACCCUGACAGAGCGCCUCCCUGACAGAGCGCCUGCCUGUGUCGCAGCUGUGCCAAAUGUGGGGUCAGACCAGGCAGGGUAGGUAGCUCACCUGUUGCUGAUAACACCUAACGGCAGAUCUCUAGGAGGGUGCGUGGUACACGCCCUGUUUCUGAAGAGGCCUCUGGUGUUACCUCCCAACGACUGACAGGUGGGCUUCCUGAGCCAGAGAUGGCAUUCAGGUGACCACAAACAGUAACGCCAUAUCCUUCAUAAACUUGGCUGUUACCUUUUUGAACCCAUCUGCCCUUCUGGGUUGCAAGUCAUCCUGUGCUAUUGAGUUCUGUCACUCAUAGAUGGAAAAAGGCAUGCUGGUCUUAGCGGGAAGCAUAGUCUUGCUGCAGAAAGCCUCUGUUAGCGACUAUUUGCUGUAUUGUCUGGCUGAAACGUCUGAGCGGCCAAGCUUCUGCAGCAGCACGAAGUCUAUGCUCAAAAAGGAGAAAGGAGGAGAUGGGUGCACUAAGACUGCUAAUACAAUGGAAGAAGCAAAAAUGGGAAGAGAGGUUGAGGGGACUGCACAAAAUGGAAAAAUCUCGUUCUGCAGACCAGGCCUAUCCAGUGACAUUAAUUUCUACCUUCAGUCUGCUCAGGUGAGUUCCUCAAGAAUGUGUUAAAGAUCAGAUUUGGUUUUCCUA